rnacentral:rRNA from 1 species
AUUGAACGCUGGCGGCAGGCUUAACACAUGCAAGUCGAGCGGAGAUGAGGUGCUUGCACCUUAUCUUAGCGGCGGACGGGUGAGUAAUGCUUAGGAAUCUGCCUAUUAGUGGGGGACAACAUUCCGAAAGGAAUGCUAAUACCGCAUCCGUCCUACGGGAGAAAGCAGGGGAUCUUCGGACCUUGCGCUAAUAGAUGAGCAUAAGUCGGAUUAGCUAGUUGGUGGGGUCAAGGCCUACCAAGGCGACGAUCUGUAGCGGGUCUGAGAGGAUGAUCCGCCACACUGGGACUGAGACACGGCCCAGACUCCUACGGGAGGCAGCAGUGGGGAAUAUUGGACAAUGGGGGGAACCCUGAUCCAGCCAUGCCGCGUGUGUGAAGAAGGCCUUAUGGUUGUAAAGCACUUUAAGCGAGGAGGAGGCUACUGAGACUAAUACUCUUGGAUAGUGGACGUUACUCGCAGAAUAAGCACCGGCUAACUCUGUGCCAGCCGCCGCGGUAAGAC